AGCCUCUGAGAGGGAUGAAGAUAUUGUUUUCUUUGAUCAGAUUAUGCCGGUAAAGGUUUUCUGGUUUACCCUAUAGGGCUUGUAGCUCAGUUGGUUAGAGCGCGCGCUUGAUAAGCGUGAGGUCGGAGGUUCAAGUCCUCCCAGGCCCACCAGUUACACGAUGCUAAAAGUUGCUAUAUUGGGAGAGUUGAUAAUCCCUUACAGGAAAUUAUUGCCCUUAAUAAAACUUUAUUUUCUAAAAGCAUUCAGAGCUGACAUAGAAUAGAGCUGACAUAGAAUUGAGAAUCUGACAUAGGAAUUAUUGAAAUUGUUUUGGAAUUAUUGAAAUUGUUUUCUAUCAUUUUAAAAGGCUAAAAUAUUCUGUCUCUAUUUUUAAAAUAGCAUCAGGUGUUUUGUAAGAGUGUGAAGUUUUUAAGUGUGAGGUUUU
rnacentral:tRNA from 15 species